UACAGAGGGGGCAAGCGUUAUUCGGAAUUAUUGGGCGUAAAGGGCGCGUAGGCGGCUUGGCAAGUGGAUGGUGAAAUCCCUCGGCUUAACCGAGGAACUGCCGUCCAAACUGCUUCGCUUGAGACCGGGAGAGGUGAGUGGAAUUCCCAGUGUAGCGGUGAAAUGCGUAGAUAUUGGGAGGAACACCAGUGGCGAAGGCGGCUCACUGGACCGGUACUGACGCUGAUGCGCGA
rnacentral:rRNA from 1 species